UACGGGGGGGGCAAGCGUUGUUCGGAAUUACUGGGCGUAAAGGGUUCGUAGGUGGCCAACUAAGUCAGACGUGAAAUCCCUCAGCUUAACUGGGGAACUGCGUCUGAGACUGGAUGGCUUGAGUGCAGGAGAGGAACGCGGAAUUCCUGGUGUAGCGGUGAAAUGCGCAGAUAUCAGGAGGAACACCGGUGGCGAAGGCGGGUCUCUGGGCCGAUACUGACGCUGAGGAGCGAAAGCGUGGGGAGCGAACAGG
rnacentral:rRNA from 1 species